UACGUAGGGGGCAAGCGUUGUCCGGAUUUAUUGGGCGUAAAGGGCUCGUAGGCGGUCUGUUGCGUCAGGAGUGAAAACUCGGGGCUUAACCCCGAGCCUGCUUCUGAUACGGGCAGACUAGAGGUAUGCAGGGGAGAACGGAAUUCCUGGUGUAGCGGUGAAAUGCGCAGAUAUCAGGAGGAACACCGGUGGCGAAGGCGGUUCUCUGGGCCUGUACUGACGCUGAGGAACGAAAGCGUGGGGAGCGAACAGG
rnacentral:rRNA from 1 species